GAUGAACGCUGGCGGCGUGCCUAAUACAUGCAAGUAGAACGCUGAAGGAGGAGCUUGCUCUUCUGGAUGAGUUGCGAACGGGUGAGUAACGCGUAUGUAACCUGCCUGUUAGCGGGGGAUAACUAUUGGAAACGAUAGCUAAUACCGCAUGACAACAGUUAUUGCAUGAUAACUGUUUAAAAGGGGCAACUGCUCCACUACCAGAUGGACCUGCGUUGUAUUAGCUAGUUGGUGAGGUAACGGCUCACCAAGGCGACGAUACAUAGCCGACCUGAGAGGGUGAUCGGCCAACCUGGGAAUGGGACAAGGCCCAGACUCCCACGGGAGGCAGCAGGAGGGAAUCUUCGGCAAUGGACGGAAGUCUGACCGAGCAACGCCGCGUGAGUGAAGAAGGUUUUCGGAUCGUAAAGCUCUGUUGUAAGAGAAGAACGAGUGUGAGAGUGGAAAGUUCACACUGUGACGGUAUCUUACCAGAAAGGGACGGCUAACUACGUG
rnacentral:rRNA from 1 species